rnacentral:rRNA from 1 species
UACGUAGGGUGCGAGCGUUUGUCCGGAAUUAUUGGGCGUAAAGAGCUCGUAGGCGGUCUGUCGCGUCGAUAGUGAAAAACUUGGGGCUUAACCCUGAGCUUGCGGUCGAUACGGGCAUGACUGGAGUUCGGCAGGGGAGACUGGAAUUCCUGGUGUAGCGGUGAAAUGCGCAGAUAUCAGGAGGAACACCGGUGGCGAAGGCGGGUCUCUGGGCAGUAACUGACGUGAGGAGCGAAAGCGUGGGGGAGCAAACAGGA